rnacentral:rRNA from 1 species
UACAGAGGGUGCGAGCGUUGUCCGGAAUCACUGGGCGUAAAGGGCGCGUAGGCGGUGGCCUAAGCGUGCGGUGAAAGCCCGGGGCUCAACCCCGGGUCGGCCGUGCGAACUGGGGCACUCGAGCACACUAGAGGCGAGUGGAAUUCCGGGUGUAGCGGUGGAAUGCGUAGAGAUCCGGAAGAACACCAGUGGCGAAGGCGGCUCGCUGGGGUGUAGCUGACGCUGAGGCGCGACAGCGUGGGGAGCAAACAGG